UACGAGAGGCCCAAACGUUAUUCGGAAUUACUGGGCGUAAAGGGCUCGUAGGCGGCCAACUAAGUCAGACGUGAAAUCCCUCGGCUUAACCGGGGAACUGCAUCUGAUACUGGAUGGCUUGAGUUCGGGAGAGGGAUGCGGAAUUCCGGGUGUAGCGGUGAAAUUCGUAGAUAUUCGCAAGAACACCAGUGGCGAAGGCGGACUCACUGGCCCGGUACUGACGCUGAGGUGCGAAAGCGUGGGGAGCAAACAGGG
rnacentral:rRNA from 1 species